rnacentral:rRNA from 1 species
UACGUAGGGCGCAAGCGUUAUCCGGAAUUAUUGGGCGUAAAGAGCUCGUAGGCGGUUUGUCGCGUCGGCCGUGAAAACCUGUGGCUUAACCAUGGGCUUGCGGUCGAUACGGGCAUCACUGGAGUUCGGCAGGGGAGACUGGAAUUCCUGGUGUAGCGGUGAAAUGCGCAGAUAUCAGGAGGAACACCAAUGGCGAAGGCAGCACUCUGGGACGUGACUGACGCUGAGACGCGAAAGCGUGGGGAGCAAACAGG